rnacentral:rRNA from 1 species
UUAAGCGACUAAGCGUACACGGUGGAUGCCCUGGCAGUCAGAGGCGAUGAAGGGCGUGCUAAUCUGCGAUAAGCGCCGGUAAGGUGAUAUGAACCGUUAUAACCGGCGAUACCCGAAUGGGGAAACCCAGUGUGACUCGUCACACUAUCAUUAACUGAAUCCAUAGGUUAAUGAGGCGAACCGGGGGAACUGAAACAUCUAAGUACCCCGAGGAAAAGAAAUCAACCGAGAUUCCCCCAGUAGCGGCGAGCGAACGGGGAGGAGCCCAGAGCCUGAAUCAGCAUGUGUGUUAGUGGAAGCGUCUGGAAAGGCGCGCGAUACAGGGUGACAGCCCCGUACACAAAAGCGCAUGUGCUGUGAGCUCGAUGAGUAGGGCGGGACACGUGGUAUCCUGUCUGAAUAUGGGGGGACCAUCCUCCAAGGCUAAAUACUCCUGACUGACCGAUAGUGAACCAGUACCGUGAGGGAAAGGCGAAAAGAACCCCGGCGAGGGGAGUGAAAAAGAACCUGAAACCGUGUACGUACAAGCAGUGGGAGCCCCACCACUAAGCCAGUGGUGAACUCCACAUACGCAUCCUUUGCUGAGGAUACGGUUAACGGAGCGAAAGCGACGUUCAACCGCAAAAGAAGCAGAGGGGGCUUAGUGGUGGGGUGACUGCGUACCUUUUGUAUAAUGGGUCAGCGACUUAUAUUCUGUAGCAAGGUUAACCGAAUAGGGGAGCCGGAGGGAAACCGAGUCUUAAUUGGGCGUUAAGUUGCAGGGUAUAGACCCGAAACCCGGUGAUCUAGCCAUGGGCAGGUUGAAGGUUGGGUAACACUAACUGGAGGACCGAACCGACUAAUGUUGAAAAAUUAGCGGAUGACCUGUGGCUGGGGGUGAAAGGCCAAUCAAACCGGGAGAUAGCUGGUUCUCCCCGAAAGCUAUUUAGGUAGCGCCUCGUGAAUUCAUCUCCGGGGGUAGAGCACUGUUUCGGCUAGGGGGCCAUCCCGGCUUACCAACCCGAUGCAAACUGCGAAUACCGGAGAAUGUUAUCACGGGAGACACACGGCGGGUGCUAACGUCCGUCGUGAAGAGGGAAACAACCCAGACCGCCAGCUAAGGUCCCAAAGUCAUGGUUAAGUGGGAAACGAUGUGGGAAGGCCCAGACAGCCAGGAUGUUGGCUUAGAAGCAGCCAUCAUUUAAAGAAAGCGUAAUAGCUCACUGGUCGAGUCGGCCUGCGCGGAAGAUGUAACGGGGCUAAACCAUGCACCGAAGCUGCGGCAGCGACACUCAGGUGUUGUUGGGUAGGGGAGCGUUCUGUAAGCCUGUGAAGGUGUGUCGUGAGGCAUGCUGGAGGUAUCAGAAGUGCGAAUGCUGACAUAAGUAACGAUAAAGCGGGUGAAAAGCCCGCUCGCCGGAAGACCAAGGGUUCCUGUCCAACGUUAAUCGGGGCAGGGUGAGUCGACCCCUAAGGCGAGGCCGAAAGGCGUAGUCGAUGGGAAACGGGUUAAUAUUCCCGUACUUGGUGUUACUGCGAAGGGGGGACGGAGAAGGCUAUGUUGGCCGGGCGACGGUUGUCCCGGUUUAAGCGUGUAGGCUGGUUUUCCAGGCAAAUCCGGAAAAUCAAGGCUGAGGCGUGACGACGAGGCACUACGGUGCUGAAGCAACAAAUGCCCUGCUUCCAGGAAAAGCCUCUAAGCAUCAGGUAACAUCAAAUCGUACCCCAAACCGACACAGGUGGUCAGGUAGAGAAUACCAAGGCGCUUGAGAGAACUCGGGUGAAGGAACUAGGCAAAAUGGUGCCGUAACUUCGGGAGAAGGCACGCUGACACGUAGGUGAAGUGAUUUACUCAUGGAGCUGAAGUCAGUCGAAGAUACCAGCUGGCUGCAACUGUUUAUUAAAAACACAGCACUGUGCAAACACGAAAGUGGACGUAUACGGUGUGACGCCUGCCCGGUGCCGGAAGGUUAAUUGAUGGGGUCAGCGCAAGCGAAGCUCCUGAUCGAAGCCCCGGUAAACGGCGGCCGUAACUAUAACGGUCCUAAGGUAGCGAAAUUCCUUGUCGGGUAAGUUCCGACCUGCACGAAUGGCGUAAUGAUGGCCAGGCUGUCUCCACCCGAGACUCAGUGAAAUUGAACUCGCUGUGAAGAUGCAGUGUACCCGCGGCAAGACGGAAAGACCCCGUGAACCUUUACUAUAGCUUGACACUGAACAUUGAGCCUUGAUGUGUAGGAUAGGUGGGAGGCUUUGAAGUGUGGACGCCAGUCUGCAUGGAGCCGACCUUGAAAUACCACCCUUUAAUGUUUGAUGUUCUAACGUGGACCCGUAAUCCGGGUUGCGGACAGUGUCUGGUGGGUAGUUUGACUGGGGCGGUCUCCUCCUAAAGAGUAACGGAGGAGCACGAAGGUUGGCUAAUCCUGGUCGGACAUCAGGAGGUUAGUGCAAUGGCAUAAGCCAGCUUGACUGCGAGCGUGACGGCGCGAGCAGGUGCGAAAGCAGGUCAUAGUGAUCCGGUGGUUCUGAAUGGAAGGGCCAUCGCUCAACGGAUAAAAGGUACUCCGGGGAUAACAGGCUGAUACCGCCCAAGAGUUCAUAUCGACGGCGGUGUUUGGCACCUCGAUGUCGGCUCAUCACAUCCUGGGGCUGAAGUAGGUCCCAAGGGUAUGGCUGUUCGCCAUUUAAAGUGGUACGCGAGCUGGGUUUAGAACGUCGUGAGACAGUUCGGUCCCUAUCUGCCGUGGGCGCUGGAGAACUGAGGGGGGCUGCUCCUAGUACGAGAGGACCGGAGUGGACGCAUCACUGGUGUUCGGGUUGUCAUGCCAAUGGCACUGCCCGGUAGCUAAAUGCGGAAGAGAUAAGUGCUGAAAGCAUCUAAGCACGAAACUUGCCCCGAGAUGAGUUCUCCCUGAGACUUAGAGUCUCCUGAAGGAACGUUGAAGACGACGACGUUGAUAGGCCGGGUGUGUAAGCGCAGCGAUGCGUUGAGCUAACCGGUACUAAUGAACCGUGAGGCUUAACCUU